GCGAAAACUUUACAAUGCCGGCAACGGCGAUAAGGGGACCUCGAGUGCCAGGUUACAAAUCUGGCUGUCGUGAUGCCUAAAAAGCAUUGCAUAGCAAGGGCCGGGCAAGACCGGUGCCAGCCGCCGCGGUAACACCGGCGGCUCGAGUGGUAACCGUUAUUAUUGGGUCUAAAGGGUCUGUAGCCGGCCGGAUAAGUCUCUUGAGAAAUCUGGCAGCUUAACUGUCAGGCUUUCAGGAGAUACUGUCUGGCUCGAGGCCGGGAGAGGUGAGAGGUACUUCAGGGGUAGGGGUGAAAUCUUGUAAUCCUUGAAGGACCACCAGUGGCGAAGGCGUCUCACCAGAACGGACCUGACGGCAAGGGACGAAAGCUAGGGGCACGAACC
rnacentral:rRNA from 1 species